rnacentral:rRNA from 1 species
AAGCAGCUUGCUGCUUCGCUGACGAGUGGCGGACGGGUGAGUAAUGUCUGGGAAACUGCCUGAUGGAGGGGGAUAACUACUGGAAACGGUGGCUAAUACCGCAUAACGUCGCAAGACCAAAGAGGGGGACCUUCGGGCCUCUUGCCAUCAGAUGUGCCCAGAUGGGAUUAGCUUGUUGGUGAGGUAACGGCUCACCAAGGCGACGAUCCCUAGCUGGUCUGAGAGGAUGACCAGCCACACUGGAACUGAGACACGGUCCAGACUCCUACGGGAGGCAGCAGUGGGGAAUAUUGCACAAUGGGCGCAAGCCUGAUGCAGCCAUGCCGCGUGUAUGAAGAAGGCCUUCGGGUUGUAAAGUACUUUCAGCGGGGAGGAAGGUGUUGUGGUUAAUAACCGCAGCAAUUGACGUUACCCGC